ACCAGUGUGGUGUAGUGGUUUGAGCAUUAGACUGUGAGUCUAGAAACCAAGGUUUGAAUCCCUGCUCAGCCA